GAUCAACAAAUAAGGGUCCUCUCCUUUGGGAAGAAAAUGUCCCACAAGGACUUGAAGUCAUUACGUAAUCUCAAAAGUGCAACAUGUAAAAUCUCUCCACACAUGGGAAAGAGUACUUGGAAACGGGUACUCCACAGGCUACCUGUGUGUGUACAGAGUGCACUCAUGCCCCACUGCUGUUCAGCAUCAGGCAGGUAACUCAGAAGCAAACAUAGAGAAAGACGGAUACCAGGAAGUCAGAAAAAGCAGCCAAGAGAAUAGUAAAUAAACUAAGAAAACAUGUUACACAUAAGAACGCCUUUCUUCAGCUCCUGACAAAGCUUUCCAACCAUGCGUGGUGAAAGGAGAAGGCUGCGCCCAAGGCACACUGCCAGACCAGAACUAAAAAUUUGGAACCAUGAAAGAGCACCCUGGAGCCAAGUCCCAUGAACAAUGGCAACCUAGAGGAGAAGCCCAAGAAGACCUUCCUCUGCCCCUUUUCCCUAUCGGUGCCCUAACUGCUCCUUCAACUCAGAAGAGCACCCCAGCAUCUGGCCACGCUUAGAACUGGUCAGGCAAUUUUCCAAAAUAACCUGAAUUACACAUUGUUUCUCCCA